AACGAACGCUGGCGGCAUGCCUAACACAUGCAAGUCGAACGAGACCUUCGGGUCUAGUGGCGCACGGGUGCGUAACGCGUGGGAACCUGCCCUUAGGUUCGGAAUAACUCCCCGAAAGGGGUGCUAAUACCGGAUAAUGUCUUCGGACCAAAGAUUUAUCGCCUUUGGAUGGGCCCGCGUUGGAUUAGCCAGUUGGUAGGGUAAAAGCCUACCAAGGCGACGAUCCAUAGCUGGUCUGAGAGGAUGAUCAGCCACACUGGGACUGAGACACGGCCCAGACUCCUACGGGAGGCAGCAGUGGGGAAUAUUGGAAAAUGGGCGAAAGCCUGAACCAGCAAUGCCGCGUGAGUGAUGAAGGCCUUAGGGUUGUAAAGCUCUUUUACCCGGGAUGAUAAUGACAGUACCGGGAGAAUAAGCUCCGGCUAACUCCGUG
rnacentral:rRNA from 1 species